rnacentral:rRNA from 1 species
GACGUAGGGGGCCAGCGUUGUUCGGAAUUACUGGGUGUAAAGGGUUCGUAGGCGGUGUGGCAAGUCGGGAGUGAAAUCUCUGGGCUCAACUCAGAGACUGCUUCCGAAACUGCUGUGCUGGAGUGUGGGAGAGGCGCGUGGAAUUGCAGGUGUAGCGGUGAAAUGCGUAGAUAUCUGCAGGAACACCCGUGGCGAAAGCGGCGCGCUGGACCACUACUGACACUGAGGCGCGACAGCGUGGGGAGCAAACAGG